UACGGGAGGCAGCAGUGGGGAAUAUUGCACAAUGGGCGCAAGCCUGAUGCAGCCAUGCCGCGUGUAUGAAGAAGGCCUUCGGGUUGUAAAGUACUUUCAGUCGUGAGGAAGGUGUUAAGGUUAAUAACCUUAGCAAUUGACGUUAGCGACAGAAGAAGCACCGGCUAACUCCGUGCCAGCAGCCGCGGUAAUACGGAGGGUGCGAGCGUUAAUCGGAAUUACUGGGCGUAAAGGGCACGCAGGCGGUUAAUUAAGUUGGAUGUGAAAUCCCCGGGCUUAACCUGGGAAUGGCAUUCAAGACUGGUUAGCUAGAGUCUUGUAGAGGGGGUAGAAUUCCAUGUGUAGCGGUGAAAUGCGUAGAGAUGUGGAGGAAUACCGGUGGCGAAGGCGGCCCCUGGACAAAGACUGACGCUCAGUGUGCGAAAGCGUGGGGAGCAAACAGGGAUUAGAUACC
rnacentral:rRNA from 1 species